rnacentral:rRNA from 1 species
UACGUAGGUGGCAAGCGUUGUCCGGAAUUACUGGGCGUAAAGCGUGCGCAGGCGGUUUUGUAAGCCAGGUGUGAAAUCCCCGGGCUCAACCUGGGAAUGGCAUUUGGGACUGCAAGGCUGGAGUGCGGCAGAGGAGACUGGAAUUCCUGGUGUAGCAGUGAAAUGCGUAGAUAUCAGGAGGAAUACCGAUGGCGAAGGCAGGUCUCUGGGCUGACACUGACGCUCAUGCACGAAAGCGUGGGGAGCAAACAGG